UUCGCCUACGGGGCGCAGCAGUGGGGAAUAUUGGGCAAUGGGCGCAAGCCUGACCCAGCAACGCCGCGUGAAGGAAGAAGGCUUUCGGGUUGUAAACUUCUUUUGUCAGGGAGCAAUUGGGUCCACGCGUGGGCUUAGCGAGAGUACCUGAAGAAAAAGCAUCGGCUAACUCCGUGCCAGCAGCCGCGGUAAUACGGAGGAUGCGAGCGUUAUCCGGAUUUAUUGGGUUUAAAGGGUGCGUAGGCGGAAUAUCAAGUCAGCGGUAAAAAUUCGGGGCUCAACCCCGUCGUGCCGUUGAAACUGAU
rnacentral:rRNA from 1 species